UUGGAGAAGGAAGAUGCUUAGAAGGACCUGAGACAAGGAAGAGCAAAAUCUGAGGGACACUGCAGAGCACCUUCUAGAAUAUGUGAUAUACACAUGGAUUAAAAGGAAUCCAAUAAAGACAUCCUCAACAAGGGACCUGGGCUCUAGCUGGAGCGCUUCUGCUAAUUUGUUAUGAGACCUCUGACUUCAGGCAAAUUGAACUUUUCUGGACCUCAGUUCUUUCAUCUGAAAACAAGUGCAACAAUCCUGCUACCACGAACCAUGGAGGAAAUCUGUGAAAUUAUCCUGAGCAAUUUUCUCCAGUGUAUUUUGGAAAUUAGCCCACCUGGAGACAUAAACCCACAAUUUCCUCUGCUAUUGUCUUAUCACAUUCAUCUUGUCUUAAACGCUGAGCCUCCUGUUGCAGAAAGAAACAGGUUUGAACACCCGAAUCUCAGCAAUGGACUAGAAUAUUUCAGAAGUUUGAAUUCCAGACCCAUUGACUUUCACGGUGGCUUUAAAAGACCAUAAAAACCAACCGAAAGUACUGCAGGGCAUAAACUAACCUGCCAGCAAAGCAUCGCCGAGUGGUGGCAACUCGGAUACGCGUGCAGACUUGAAAAUACAGAGCGCCGAGCCAAAGCCUGAGUUCCUGGGAAACCGCGCGCAGUGUCUCCCAGGAACGUGGUGUGCGUGCGGGCAGGGCUCGGGAAACAAAGCGAGCUCACGCCAGACUCUGCGACCCCCCGGACAGGGCCGUUUCUAACUUUCCUCUCUGUCUCUCCAGGAGUGGCAGGAGGGGCUUGAUGCAGACACCAGAACAAAGACAGCCAGGUCAGAAAUGGUGUGGUCUGUUUCUGCAAGUCCCGGUCUUUGUGACCCGGGGAAAUGGCUUAGCCUCUAGCUUGCCAGCUAGAAAAGAAAAGCCUUUAUUUGCUCAAGUGCUUUGGGAUCUUCAAAGGAAGACUCUGAACUAUUAUUCAAAUAUUUGUACAUCAUUUAGGCUGUGCUCUUCAGACUUCAUUAUGCUCCCCCAAACUUCCCAGGGAGUUUGGAUCACCUAGAAACUUUAGCAUGCCAUCUUCCCUUCCUCCUUCUGCCCUCCCUAAAGCCUCAUCGAAAGCACUGAUCUUUUGAUUAUUGGAGCUUCUGAAACAGAGCCAAGGAUGAGGCUUUAAGUGUCAACGGCGACAAUAUUCAGCGUUACCUUGCUA